CCACAGAGGGUGAUGCCUGAGAAGGGACAGCAGCCCAGCCCCAUUCAGGGACACGUGGCCCUGAUUUGAGCUCCUGUGACAUCACGCUCCCUCCACUUAUCUUACAUGUCACAUCUCAAACAUUUAACAUUUUACAUCUCAAACAUUUCUUGAGGCCCUUACCCUCCCAUUCCCCCAAAUCAAUACGGCACUUAGGGGACACCAAGGCGCAGAGACACUUGCCCCAAAUCAUGCAGUAAUGCCCUGGUGCCACCGUGAACAGUGCUGAAGCUUCCUGACCCCUUGUCCAGGGGACCUGGCUGCCUUUUAUAGAAAGUUUCCACACACCUUCUAUUCCUAACCUCGAUCACAAGCAUCGCCGGCCCAGAUGCUCUGUGUCACCGGCUUAGUAACAUACCCCAUUUAGGAGCAUGAGCACAACUUGUUUGCAGUGGGAAUGAAUUAACUGAAUUCUAGAUAUUGUUUUUUGGCUGCCUUUUUUUGUUUGUUUUUAUUUCAAACACAGCUAACUAAUCAGGGCUGUGGACACCAAGAAUGCCAACUUUGAUUCUUCAAGGAAAAUCAGCAGCUGACCACACACCACCCUUCCUGGUCCUCCCCGAGAUGCCAAGAACAUCCAAAGUCUGCAGUUUUGAGGAAACUGAAGCUGAUCUGACACCACUUCCUUUUUCUCCAGAUGUUACCCUUCGGAUGCAUACCUCAAUCUGCCUGAAAAUCAUGGAAUUCUGGAGAUGGAAGGGACCUCAGAGAUUUUCUGGUUCUCUCUGUUCUGGUUGCCCCUGCAGCUUCCUGGCCACCCUCCUCUGGCUACACUUAAUGCCUCUUUGAAAACCUGGUACCCAGAACUGAAUGGUGGACUGCGCUCAGCUUCUCCUUCCAGGUCCCGCCCUGAGGCACCCGGCUUAACCCCCAAGUCAAACGCUGCACAGAGCAGGCCUGCUGCCUGCCCACUCUGGCUACCAGGCCAAAGGCCCAGGUCUGGAAGAAUAAAAAGAUGCCACCACCCUACUACCUUGCUGCUGCUCCAUCCCCAGACAGCUGUGGGCAGCUGCAGCUGAGAAGUGAAACUAACA
rnacentral:lncRNA from 10 species